UACGAAGGGUGCAAACGUUGCUCGGAAUUAUUGGGCGUAAAGCGCACGUAGGCGGUAUUGCAAGUCGGAUGUGAAAUCCCUCGGCUUAACCAAGGAAGUGCAUCCGAAACUGCUGUACUUGAGUACGAAAGAGGAUCGCGGAAUUCCCGGUGUAGAGGUGAAAUUCGUAGAUAUCAGGAGGAACACCGGUGGCGAAGGCGGAUCUCUGGGCCAUAACUGACGCUGAGGAGCGAAAGCAUGGGGAGUGAACAGG
rnacentral:rRNA from 1 species